rnacentral:rRNA from 1 species
ACAUUUGAUCUCAUCUGAUCUCAGAAGGUAAG